UCCCAAACUCCUUUGGUUAGUUAGUGGGGUUGGGGGCCAAUUCUGAUCCUCCAUAGUUACUAGCUGCUUAAUCAUCUAUGGCUGUUUGCCAGUUUCACAACCCUGAGACCUCUGUUCACCUCCUUUACUCGUGCUGGGAGGGUCAGUUCUGCUCAACCCACUGCAGAUGGUCCACGUGAGCAUUCAGGAUUUUGCAUUUCUGCUGGAGCAGUUCGCUAGUGUGGAUAGGACCUCUGGAUGUACUAAGUCGCUCAGUGGGGACCUUGUGAUGUCUGUCUACCGUAGUCUGGCUGAGCAAUCACAUUCCUGAGAGAUGGGCUCACGGAGAAUCUGUCCACAGGAGCACCAUUGCUUCCGAAAUUAAAUUUGCUCAUGACUCCAAAUUCUCAGCUACAGCUGUUGUUGCCAUUCCAGACUCCAAAGUACAGAUCAAUUUCUUACAAGUGGGAUGUAGGCGAGCCACACAAGGGCUGGACUCUUUUGCCCUAGCGACUCCUUGGACAUCUGCCUAUUAGAAUCUGGGUGUGCAGACAGGGGUCUGUUAUUGACCAGGAACAGCCUGUGCUAUGGUGUGGAGGUGGGACGAGAAUGUGAAGAAGCAAGAACUUCGCUUUGCCCAAACGUACUAACCACCCGGCAGCCACCAUCCUCUGAGUGCCUACUCUGAGCUGGAUACUGCAGAAGGUACUUGAUAUCCAUGUUUCUAAUCCCCAUCACUCUGUUCAGGCCAGGCAGGCAUAUCCCCUUUUGAUAAAUGAGGAAACUGAGGUUCAUAUAGAUAAAUGUUUAAUUAAAGUCACAAAGCAAGUGAUGCAGCUUGAAUGUGAACCCAGAUCAUCGAAUUCUGAUGGUGUGAUUUCAUUGUGCUGAAAGUGGGUCCAGCUUGGAGCAGGGCCACUGCCCUCAUCUCUCAAGGUUUACCUUCUCAGGUCCCAAGCACCACUUACCCAGAGUUCCUAGACGCAAAGGAAUAUUUGGCACCAUACUGGUGUUAAAAAUGGGAUUUCUUCCACGUAUAUUUUUGGGUUUAAGUUCUUAGAAGAAGCCAUUCUCUUUUUAUAGCUGGCUGCCUGCUGCCCAGCCCGUAAUACCAAAACGUAUGGUUUUCCUGUAGCCAGAGCCCUCUCUAAAGUUCCUACUAUUUGCUGAUCCACUAGCUGGUUCCGAAGUGAGAUGGGUUCCAAGGGCCUGGGUCUCUCGCCUCAGUGGGCCAGGUGGGGGCCUGAGUUGUCAUCUGUGGCCCAACAUACCUGGCAUUUAAAGUCCUUAGAGUUGGCAGCAUACGUAAAUGUGUGAUAUUGUGGGUUUUUUAAAAAUAGACCCGGACUCAUCAGCAAUGGGAGAUAAAAUAACAACUCUUGCUUCUGCUUUAAUUAAUGUUUGGUUAGUUCUAGCUCAAGGCACGUAUUAAAAGGGGCUAUUUUACCUAAAAUAACCAAUUGAAAAUCCUCUAUUUGCCAGGUAUUUUUUCACCCAACCCAAUUCCCUUCAUGCUCAGCCCCUCCCUCCCACAUACCCCCAACCAUGCUAGCAGGGCAGCCCCGGAGGCAGGGAACAAUCUCUCUUCCUCUCUUCACCCCAAUACCCCCCAAUCAUUUCAUCAAAGGGACACUCAGCUCUUUAUGAGACAGUGAAGAGAAUUAUUAAGUAGGAGUUCCGAAGCUAUAGAGCCCUCCUACUCCUGCCCCUGCAAUUUAUUAACUGUGUGACUUGGGGCAAGUUAUUUCACAUCUCUGAGCCUCAGUUUCCUCUACCUAUGAAAUAGGGAUAAUAACAGGAACAACCUAAAAGCGUUGUUGUGAGGAUGAGCUGUCAUGUGCUUAGCAGGGUACCUGGACCAGAAGAGAUACAUGGUAGAAGCAGCUACUACUACUCAGAAAUGAAAGAUGACACGGAAAGAAGUUUUCAGUAUGCUGUUAAGUGAAAAAGGCAGGUUAUAAAACAGACUAUACUACAUGGACCCCUUUGAAAACUCAACGUUGGCAGAGAUAAGUGUCUGGAAGGAUGUAAAUGAAAAGAUAUUACAGAAGUCAUCUAGGCAGCUGAUCAUGGGCUCUCUUUCUUUUCCACAUUCUCACUUCCAUUUCCUGGUUUUCUAAAUGAGUACCUGUAAUACUUAUAGUAAGUAGAAAACCUAGAACAUACUGGUUAAAAUUAUGGACUAUGGGAUCACCCAACCUGGGUUCAAAUCCCAAUGUCUUCUUUUACGGGCUGUGUGACUUUGGGAAAGUGGCUUAGUCUCUCUGAGUUUCAGCUCACUCGUCUGCAAAAUGGUGAUAACAAUAAUACCUCCUCAUGUCAGCCACUAAGUAUUGUUGUUGUCCUUUCAUCACUAAUUUGGUGGGUGGCAAGGAAUCAGGAAGAAGGAAGGAAGGGACCAAUAUAGAUGGGGAAGUGAAGGAAAGUCUCUUUCAGAGGGUGAAAUUUAAGCUGAAAGCUGAAGGUUGAGAAUGAUCUAGAUGUGUGAAGAACCUAGAGGAACAACAUUCUAGACAGAGGAGACAAGAAGAACAAAGGUUCUGAGGCAGGAAAAGGCUUCAUGUGUUCAAGAUCAUUGGCAGCAUAGGAGGAGUCUGGAGAGUGAGGCAAGAACAAGACAAGCAAAGCCUCUGAAGCCAGGGCAUAGACUCUGGAUUUAAUGACCAAAACUGCAGCUCCGAGUGCCACUUCCUCCAAGAAGCCUGCCUGGCUGCUGCUUCCCAUCCUCACUUCUCAUUUCUCUGAACUCUUCUACUUUUCCCGUCAGUACCACUCCUUGUUCUGCUCUUUUUCACACUGUUACCACUAUAUUAUCAAAUAAUUAAGGGAUUUUAGAUAUCUUCAUAAUUCCCUAUAACCUAGUGCUAUCUCAAUAUUUGUUGAGUGAAUAUGAAACUCCAUAAGUAGGCAAUUUGUAAUGCUUUCCUCUGCGCUACCUAUACAGAAAAUAUUUCUUAAGCUAAUUAAUAGCAAAAACAUGAUUGCACAAGGAAUCAUUUACUCUGAGUUAGUAAACUGAUUUUAAAAACUUCAGAAGCACCCAUUUUUGAGAAACUGGUAUCUCAGAUACAUCCAUAAUUCUUACACAGUCAUAAACUCAUGUUCCCUCAGCAUCUUUGUUCUGCAAAGUGGUUGUCAAGAGAAAAUUAUUGCAUAAAGUUAAAAUAGUAAAACAGUUUCUUUAAAAAUAUUAUAAAAGACUGAUGUUCUCACAAAUUUAGACAGGCUCCCACACUCUUGGUGAAUCUCUAUUGUAACUUUGCCUGAAUUAUUAUAGAUAUAGAAUACUAACUUCGGGUCUCUCCCCUAUUC